UUUAGAAAGGCAAACUAGCAGUGGUCUACGCAAGGGCCGGUGGUCGGCAGGCUCUGACAAUGCAAUGGCUGUGGUCUGUAGGCGCCUGACUAGGACCCGGCCGCCCGCACAACCCCCAGGGCCCCGCGCCUACUGCAAUGCUCCUCAUCGCUCCAGUCGUUACAGUCGUUGUGGCCGUUGCACUGCAGCUUCCGGGGCACGCAGUACCCGCUGGCGCACAGAAAGCUCUCGCCCCCUCCGCACAGCGCUGAAAUACAAGGGUGGGAACACAGCGUCAGAAGGGUUUUCCCAUCGAAAGUGGGAGAAAUGAAGAACAGAGGGAAAACCUUCCCUUGCUCUCCAACGGAUUUGUGUCCACAUUCCCUCACCGAGUUUCCUUUGGCCCUCUAGAACAUGAAUGGUGAAAUUGCCUGGGAAUAAUACAAACAGUGUUUGCCUGAGAAACGCAGAAGAAAACUCAGCACUAGGCUUGCGGGGUGAGAGGUCUCCGUGUUCAGAGCACAAGAGGACUUGGAAGAAUGAGCUAUCGGACGAGUAGUUUUCGAGGUGGGAGUAGGAGAGUUCAGGGAAGUUUCAUGACUUGAGAAGUGACGAUGAGAAGUAGACACGGAAGGAAGCACAAUGAGCUCAGAAGUGGGUGUGGACCUAACUCUGUCACACUACAGUAUGAGAAACGCCACAUCGCUUUAUUUUUCUAAACGAAAUGAACGCAUCCUUCCCCACUCAAAAAGGUGAUAAGAAAUCUUAUUCAGACAUGUGUUUCAGGGAUUUCAGCCUUCCUAGGGCGCUGUGAGGAUCCAAGGGGCUUACAUGGUACCUGGAAGAACCGAGGAAGGGACUCUGGUUUUCAGUUCCUCAGAGAAUUGCUGAGGGACUCGUGGUUCUACGCCCUUAAGGUUGCGAAAUGCGUAACUCACUUCCGAAAGAUGGUCAUCACCGAGUGUCGAAAAAUGCCUUGCGCUUCAAGGGUUAACCUGUAAACAGGAAGAAUGUCUUUGUGAACAAGAUAUAGUGAUCCAAUCGGAAUGAGCCAAGGAAAGGAAGAGGCUUAAACGUGACUGGCUGCCAUGUGCUUCCUCUCUUUGCCUUCCCAUAAGAUGGAGCACAGCUACAUGGUUCAGCCAGCUUCAAUCACUCAGAUAAGGACCAUAAUCUAGGAACUGGAGAGGCAAAAGAAAAAAAAAAAAAGAAAAAAAAAUGGAUGGAACUCAAGUCUUUGGAUGAGUUCAUAGAGGAAGUUUGAGCUUACAAACUGGAAAAUUCAUCUUGGUUCUACUGCUUAACAGAGAAACAAAGUGUUGUUUCCUUUAAGCCACUGUAUUUCAAGAUCUCUUUUGUUACAGCAGGUUAGUUUUUCUAUAACUGAUAUGAACGGUUUGAAUCUGGGGGGGGGUGGUUUCGUUCCCACUGUCCAUAAGGAAGAUCUGAGAAUAAAGCCAAGUCACUUGUAAUAAAUAUAGGAUCCAAGGAAGAAGGUGGGCCCACUGCAUCCCAAUGAGGACUCAGAACGUACCUUCCCACACAGACAUUCAUUUACACAUGUUGGCUAUGAGUCCAAUAGACUUCGUAAUCCAGUUCAAGCUAGAGAUGUACCCACAACAGAGCUUCUAUGAGAAAAUAUCUUUCAUGUUUGAAACAACUAAUCUGCAAGUAUAUCUUUGAAAUAUAGCCCAUUUAUUAGCCGAAGACUGCCAGUAAUUCUGUAUCUGCCUUAUAGUGAAGAUUAAUGGGCAUAUUACAUGCAAACCAUUAUGCAUAGUAUCUGCCUUCAAAUGAGCUUUUAACAUAUUUAGCGGACUAUUAGUGACAUUAUUAAAUCAAUAUCAUAAUAUAGGCAGCAAGGAAAGGAGGAAUUUACUCUAAGGAAGUAUAGUGCCUCAGGCUUUUGGUAUGACCCUCACAGUCAGAGGUAUGAGGGAUGAAUGCUUUAAAUAUUUCCAGAUCUCUUAACUUCCACAAGUAAUUCUAGCGCAUUUUCCCCAAACUAAAUAGCAUCAAAUAUUACCUCAAAAAAUGUUUGAGGUUUUAAAACAUUUCCCAAAGUAGACAAUUAGAAAUGAUGGGUUAGAAAAUCAACAUGGCCGGAAAUGCCUACACGUCAGGAAGAAGAAACCAAGAACUGAAUACAAGAGAGAAACAUAAAAGGAAGGGCCACCAUCCACUCCCCCCACCUCUGCAAGAGCCUACCAGUAGAAGAAAUGUUUACCUUCUGCAAAUUCACUUUACAAUCAAUAAUACUCAAUGGAUCAAAGCAAGAUGGUUUUUAGAAACCAAAGUCUCUACUUUGGAAAAAAUGAAAACAAUAAAAGGAAAACAAUAAGACCUUCUUUAGAGCCAUAGGGAAUAAAAAGAGGUAGUGGGAACAUGUAAGACUGAAUGAGGUGUGGAGAAAAUCUGGUAAUACACGAAACUGAAAAGUCAGACUUUUAAUUACUUCUCUCUAGAGCCCUGUUUUCAGAGUGUGAACACUGACUAAGGCAAUAACAAACAGCAGAAAAGUGAGAUGAAAUCGGUGAAAAUCUGGAGAAAGAUUUCUCAAAUACUCGGGACUCGGCAGUAUUUUGUUUGCUGAGCACUUUGAAGGAAGGAAAUAUUCCACAUAGUGAGAAAUUCAAAUAACUCAAGCGUUAUCUAUUUGAGAUUCCUAAUAUCCUUCAACAUUGUAUUAAAGUUUCAUGAAAUAGA